rnacentral:tRNA from 1 species
GGUUCUAUGGUGUAAUGGUUAGCACGCUGGACUCUGAAUCCAGCAAUGUGAGUUCAAAUCUCGGUAGGACAU